rnacentral:lncRNA from 1 species
GAAAUCGUCAUACUAGGUUUCCCCUCUGUAUCCUUAAAAUCAGACCUACGAUGGCAGCUCCCAAGACAGGAAUCAGGAUCAUCAUUGUGAGAACCACAGCAGGC